CCUGUUGAGCUUGACUCUAGUCUGACGUUGUGAAAUGACUUGGGAGGUGUAGAAUAAGUGGGAGGCUCUGCCGUCUGUGAAAUACCACUACUCUCAAUGUUGUUUUACUUAUACCAUGAUGUAGCAUCUGUGUGGCCUCGCGGUCGCUCAGUUCUAGUUGUAAACUUGGGCUUUUGCCUGGGUGAGCUACGUGGAAGACAUCGUCAGGUGGGGAGUUUGGCUGGGGCGGCACAUCUGUUAAAUGAUAACACAGGUGUCCUAAGGUGAGCUCAAUGAGAACAGAAAUCUCAUGUAGAACAAAAGGGUAAAAGCUCACUUGAUUUUGAUUUUCAGUAUGAAUACAAACCGUGAAAGCGUGGCCUAUCGAUCCUUUAGUUCUUUUGAAUUUUAAGCUAGAGGUGUCAGAAAAGUUACCACAGG
rnacentral:ncRNA from 1 species